rnacentral:rRNA from 1 species
GAUGAACGCUGGCGGCGUGCUUAAUACAUGCAAGUCGAGCGAACAGACGAGGCGCUUGCUCCUCUGACGUUAGCGGCGCACGGGUGAGUAACACGUGGAUAAUCUACCUAUAAGUCUGGGAUCACUUCGGGAAACCGGCGCUAACACCGGAUAAUCUAUUGAACCGCAUGGUUCAAUAGUGAAAGACGGUUUUGCUGUCACUUAUAGAUGGAUCUGCGCCGCAUUAGCUAGUUGGUACGGUAACGGGUUACCAAGGCAACGAUGCGUAGCCGACCUGAGAGAGGGAUCGGCCGCACUGGAACUGGAACGCGGUCCAGAGGCCUACGGGAGGCAGCAGUAGGGAAUCUUCCGCAAUGGGCGAAAGCCUGGCGGAACAACGCCACGUGAGUGAUAGAAGUCUUCGGAUCGUAAAACUCUGUUAUUAGGUGAGAACAAAUGUGUAAGUAACUAUGCACGUCUUGACGGUACCUAAUCAGAAAGCCACGGCUAACUACGUG